rnacentral:rRNA from 1 species
GCUUAACGCGAAGAACCUUACCUAGGCUUGACAUAUAGAUGACGAUAUCAGAGAUGAUAUUUCUCUUCGGAGCGUCUAUACAGGUGCUGCAUGGCUGUCGUCAGCUCGUGCCGUGAGGUGUUGGGUUAAGUCCCGCAACGAGCGCAACCCUUAUCAUUAGUUGCCAACAGUUCGGCUGGGGACUCUAAUGAGACUGCCUGGGUUAACCAGGAGGAAGGUGAGGAUGACGUCAAGUCCGCAUGGCCCUUAUGUCUAGGGUUACACAUGUGCUACAAUGGCCGGUACAGAAGGCAGCGAAACCGUGAGGUGUAGCAAAUCCUAUAAAGCCGGUCCCAGUUCGGAUUGUAGUCUGCAACUCGACUACAUGAAGUUGGAAUUGCUAGUAAUGGCGUGUCAGCAACAACGCCGUGAAUACGUUCCCGGGUCUUGUACACACCG